rnacentral:rRNA from 1 species
AUUGAACGCUGGCGGCAUGCUUUACACAUGCAAGUCGAACGGUAACAGGCCUUCGGGCGCUGACGAGUGGCGAACGGGUGAGUAAUGCAUCGGAACGUGCCCAGUCGUGGGGGAUAACGCAGCGAAAGCUGUGCUAAUACCGCAUACGAUCUGCGGAUGAAAGCGGGGGGACUUCGGGCCUCGCGCGAUUUGAGCGGCCGGUGUCCGAUUAGGGAGGUGGUGGGGGAAAGGCUCACCAAGCCAACGAACUGUAGCUGGUCUGAGAGGGAAACCAGCCACACUGGGACUGGGACACGGCCCAGACUCCUACGGGAGGCAGCAGUGGGGAAUUUUGGACAAUGGGCGCAAGCCUGAUCCAGCAAUGCCGCGUGCAGGAAGAAGGCCUUCGGGUUGUAAACUGCUUUUGUACGGAGCGAAAAGGCUCCCUCUAAUACAGGGGGCUCAUGACGGUACCGUAAGAAUAAGCACCGGCUAACUACGUGCCAGCCGCCGCUGUAAUAC